rnacentral:rRNA from 1 species
AUUGAACGCUGGCGGAAUGCUUUACACAUGCAAGUCGAACGGCAGCAUAGGUGCUUGCACCUGAUGGCGAGUGGCGAACGGGUGAGUAAUACAUCGGAACGUGCCCAGUCGUGGGGGAUAACGUAGCGAAAGUUACGCUAAUACCGCAUACGAUCUAAGGAUGAAAGCGGGGGACCGUAAGGCCUCGCGCGAUUGGAGCGGCCGAUGUCAGAUUAGGUAGUUGGUUAGGUAAAGGCGCACCAAGCCGACGAUCUGUAGCUGGUCUGAGAGGACGACCAGCCACACUGGGACUGGGACACGGCCCAGACUCCUACGGGAGGCAGCAGUGGGGAAUUUUGGACAAUGGACGCAAGUCUGAUCCAGCCAUUCCGCGUGCAGGACGAAGGCCUUCGGGUUGUAAACUGCUUUUGUACGGAACGAAAAAGCUCUUACUAAUACUAGGAGUCCAUGACGGUACCGUAAGAAUAAGCACCGGCUAACUACGUGCCAGCCGCCGCCGUAA